rnacentral:rRNA from 1 species
GAUGAACGCUGGCGGCGUGCCUAAUACAUGCAAGUCGAGCGAACGGACGAGAAGCUUGCUUUUCUGAUGUUAGCGGCGGACGGGUGAGUAACACGUGGAUAACCUACCUAUAAGACUGGGAUAACUUCGGGAAACCGGAGCUAAUACCGGAUAAUAUUUUGAACCGCAUGGUUCAAAAGUGAAAGACGGUCUUGCUGUCACUUAUAGAUGGAUCCGCGCUGCAUUAGCUAGUUGGUAAGGUAACGGCUUACCAAGGCAACGAUGCAUAGCCGACAUGAGAGGGUGAUCGGCCACACUGGAGCGGAGACACGGUCCAGACUCCUACGGGAGGCAGCAGUAGGGAAUCUUCCACAAUGGGCGAAGACCUGACGGAGCAACGCCGCGUGAGUGAUGAAGGUCUUCGGAUCGUAAAACUCUGUUAUUAGGGAAGAACAUAUGUGUAAGUAACUGUGCACAUCUUGACGGUACCUAAUCAGAAAGCCACGGCUAACUACGUG